CCCCCCGGGGGUGAACUAGCCUAACUGAAUCAUAGAGUUUAUUUAAACUCAUGAUGUCGUAAGGGAAAAUAAUGAUAAUACCUUACUAAUAGUGUCGUCCAAAUCUGGUGCCAGAAGACUCGGUAAGACCAGAGACGCAAACGUUAAUCAUCUUAAACAGGCGUAAAGGGUUUGUAGGCAGCUUUCAGAAGUACUAUAAUUAAGCAAAUAAAGUAGUCUAAUUGGAAGCUAGAAUCAAAUGGAGGUUAUAGUGUAUAACGCUUAGAGGAGGGCUGAUAUCCUUAGAUCCUAAGCAGAAUACUCAGGGCGAAGGCCACUUUCCACUAAUGAUUGACGCUGAGAAACGAAGGUUAGGGUAGGAAAUAGGAUUAGAUACCCCGGUACCCCUUUCUGUAAACGAUGAAUGGUAGUCAUUAGUUUAGAAAAACUAGAGGCGAAGUUAACGCGAUAACCAUUCCGCCUUGUGAGUACUACUGCAAAGUAGAAAACAAAAAAAUUAGUCGGUCUCGAAGCAAACGGAGUGAAGCAUGUUAUUUAAUUCGAUAAAUCCGCAA
rnacentral:rRNA from 1 species